rnacentral:rRNA from 1 species
UACGUAGGGUGCAAGCGUUGCCCGGAUUUAUUGGGCGUAAAGGGCGCGCAGGUGGUUCUGUGUGCUCCGCGUGAAAUCGCCCGGCUCAACCGGGCGGGGUCGCGGAUGACUACAGGACUGGAGCCUGGGAGGGGGAAGCGGAAUUCCCGGUGUAGUGGUGGAAUGCGUAGAUAUCGGGAGGAACACCAGUGGCGAAGGCGGCUUCCUGGACCAGAGCUGACACUGAGGCGCGAAAGCGUGGGGAGCGAUCCGGAUUAGAAACCCCCGUAGUCC